rnacentral:rRNA from 1 species
AUGAACGCUGGCGGCGUGCCUAAUACAUGCAAGUCGAGCGAACAGACGAGGAGCUUGCUCCCCUGACGUUAGCGGCGGACGGUUGAGUAACACUUGGAUAACCUACCUAUAAGACUGGGAUAACUUCGGGAAACCUGAGCUAAUACCGGAUCAUAUAUUGAACCGCAUGGUUCAAUAGUGAAAGACGGUUUUGCUGUCACUUAUAGAUGGAUCCGCGCCGUAUUAGCUAGUUGGUAAGGUAACGGCUUACCAAGGCGACGAUGCGUAGCCGACCUGAGAGGGUGAUCGGCCACACUGGAACGGAGACACGGUCCAGACUCCUACGGGAGGGAGCAGUAGGGAAUCGUCCGCAAUGGGCGAAAGCCUGACGGAGCAACGCCGCGUGAGUGAUGAAGGUCUUCGGAUCGUAAAACUCUGUUAUUAGGGAAGAACAAAUGUGUAAGUAACUAUGCACGUAUUGACGGUACCUAAUCAGAAAGCCACGGCUAACUACGUG